UGGGGAAUAUUGGGCAAUGGGGCGAAAGCCUGACCCAGCGACGCCGCGUGAGGGAAGACGGUCUUCGGAUUGUAAACCUCUUUCAGCAGGGAAGAAGCAAGUGACGGUACCUGCAGAAGAAGUCACGGCUAACUACGUGCCAGCAGCCGCGGUAAUACGUAGGUGGCGAGCGUUAUCCGGAAUUACUGGGUGUAAAGGGUGUGUAGGCGGGGAAGCAAGUCAGAUGUGAAAACCAAAGGCUCAACCUUUGGCUUGCAUUUGAAACUGUUUUUCUUGAGAGUGGGAGAGGUAAACGGAAUUCCUAGUGUAGUAGUGAAAUGCGUAGAUAU
rnacentral:rRNA from 1 species